UACGUAGGGUGCGAGCGUUAAUCGGAAUUACUGGGCGUAAAGUGUGCGCAGGCGGCGUCGCAAGUCGAGUGUGAAAGCCCCGAGCUUAACUUGGGAAUUGCGCUCGAAACUACGAUGCUGGAGUGUGGCAGAGGAAGGUGGAAUUCCACGUGUAGCGGUGAAAUGCGUAGAUAUCGGGAGGAACACCAGUGGCGAAAGGC
rnacentral:rRNA from 1 species